UUCGCUGACGAGUGGCGGACGGGUGAGUAAUGUCUGGGAAACUGCCUGAUGGAGGGGGAUAACUACUGGAAACGGUAGCUAAUACCGCAUAACGUCGCAAGACCAAAGAGGGGGACCUUCGGGGCUCUUGCCAUCAGAUGUGCCCAGAUGGGAUUAGCUAGUAGGUGGGGUAACGGCUCACCUAGGCGACGAUCCCUAGCUGGUCUGAGAGGAUGACCAGCCACACUGGAACUGAGACACGGUCCAGACUCCUACGGGAGGCAGCAGUGGGGAAUAUUGCACAAUGGGCGCAAGCCUGAUGCAGCCAUGCCGCGUGUAUGAAGAAGGCCUUCGGGUUGUAAAGUACUUUCAGCGGGGAGGAAGGCAAUGGGGUUAAUAACCGCGUCGAUUGACGUUACCCGCAGAAGAAGCACCGGCUAACUCCGUGCCAGCAGCCGCGGUAAU
rnacentral:rRNA from 1 species